rnacentral:rRNA from 1 species
GGGAGGCAGCAGUGGGGAAUAUUGCGCAAUGGGGGCAACCCUGACGCAGCCAUGCCGCGUGUGUGAAGAAGGCCUUCGGGUUGUAAAGCACUUUCAAUUGGGAAGAAAAGUACACCGUUAAUAGCGGUGUGCCCUGACAUAC